ACACUCCUACGGGAGGCAGCAGUGGGGAAUAUUGCACAAUGGGCGCAAGCCUGAUGCAGCCAUGCCGCGUGUAUGAAGAAGGCCUUCGGGUUGUAAAGUACUUUCAGCGGGGAGGAAGGCGAUAAGGUUAAUAACCUUGUUGAUUGACGUUACCCGCAGAAGAAGCACCGGCUAACUCCGUGCCAGCAGCCGCGGUAAUACGGAGGGUGCAAGCGUUAAUCGGAAUUACUGGGCGUAAAGCGCACGCAGGCGGUCUGUCAAGUCGGAUGUGAAAUCCCCGGGCUCAACCUGGGAACUGCAUUCGAAACUGGCAGGCUAGAGUCUUGUAGAGGGGGGUAGAAUUCCAGGUGUAGCGGUGAAAUGCGUAGAGAUCUGGAGGAAUACCGGUGGCGAAGGCGGCCCCCUGGACAAAGACUGACGCUCAGGUGCGAAAGCGUGGGGAGCAAACAGGAUUAGAAACCCGUGUAGUCCC
rnacentral:rRNA from 1 species